UUACAAUGGGAAGAUGGGGGAGGCAGCACACUGGGGUCAGGAGUGGAGAUACUUAGGCUCCCCAGAGAAAUUAGUCACAAGUCUUAUCCCUUCAUCUCCAUUUACAGCCAUUUAUUUGGGAGCAACAUACUUUAAAUGAGUGAUAAACAAAAUGUCUCCCCACAGCCCCCACCCCAGCAUGUGUUCUGAAGUUCACAGGAAGGCUUCUCCUCAUUUGCUUUGGGGCCCGCAGGCUGCCUGCUAACAGCUGGGUCUUCCCAUGAACAAAUUAGACAGUUAAUGUUCCAGGAUGAAGAGGGCUUCGGGGAACAGAAUCUGCCGUUUAUUUGACUUGCUUCAUUAGACACAGUGCCAUCAUACCAAAAUUAGAAAAAAGAAGGAACUCAGCGGAAAUCAGCUACACAAGAAGAACCUCUCAGUUCUGAGAAUUCACAUUAACCAGUGAUUAAGAAAUAUUAAAAAGGGCUGAUAGUCCACUACGUUAUCAAGUUCAAAGCCUAAGAAAUAUUGAACAUUUCCACACAUGAAUGUGGGUACUAUGUUUAAUUUGAGAAUGGCCAACUGUCCUCGAAGUCUCAAUCUCUUUGGAGCCUACCAGCUCCGAGAGAAGUUUGAGGAUGCUGCAAAACCCUCCCCUGCAAAUCCAUCUACUCCUCCCACUUCUAUCCUAAUGGGUAUAGUUCUUGGCUGUGCUGAGGAUCUGUAAGGCACCAGAUGUGAAAGUAAGGAAGAAAGAUGGAUGUGGAAGAAAGUCACUGCCCAGAGAAUAAGGAGACCUGGAUUCUAAUCUCAGCUCUGCCAUUAACUAGCUGUGAGACUCAAGAAUAACUAAUCAUUUUGAUAACUCGUUUUUUUACUUUUUAAAAUGAGGAGCCAAGUUUAGACAAUGAGCUCGGCUCUUCACCAGUGAUAAAGUGUCUGGGACAUGCUUCCAUUCAAGCAAUGCUCUUCCUUCUUGAUGAAACUAUGGCUCAAAAGGGAAUAAGAGAUCAAGGCAAGCAUGGACAUCUUGUACGUGGAAGUGCAGACCAGAACUUGUAUCACAGCCAGUCAUAUCUGGUGCUUUCCAUGCUACUUUUACAUACAUGUAUCCUUAAAUUUGAUCCUCUUCUAGUUUAGUCUAAACUCUUUACUUUGUAACUUCCAAACCUAAAAGGUGCAGCAGACAUUGACAAUCUUAAUUCAUUUGUCAGGUCA
rnacentral:lncRNA from 1 species